CCUACGGGAGGCAGCAGUAGGGAAUCUUCCACAAUGGGCGAAACCCUGAUGGAGCAACGCCGCGUGGGUGAAGAAGGUCUUCGGAUCGUAAAACCCUUUUGUUAGAGAAGAAAAUGCGUGAGAGUAACUGUUCACGUUUCGACGGUAUCUAACCAGAAAGCCACGGCUAACUACGUGCCAGCAGCCGCGGUAAUACGGAGGUGGCAAGCGUUAUCCGGAUUUACUGGGCGUAAAGGGAACGAAGGCGGUCUUUUAAGUCGGAUGUGAAAGCCUUCGGCUUAACCGGAGUAGUGCAUUGGAAACUGGGAGACUUGAGUGCAGAAGAGGAGAGUGGAACUCGAUGUGUAGCGGUGAAAUGCGUAGAUAUAUGGAAGAACACCAGUGGCGAAAGCGGCUCUCUGGACUGUAACUGACGCUGAGGUUCGAAAGCGUGGGUAGCAAACAGGAUUAGAUACCCCGGUAGUC
rnacentral:rRNA from 1 species